UGGGGAAUAUUGCACAAUGGAGGGAACUCUGAUGCAGCGACGCCGCGUGAGUGAUGAAGGACUUCGUUUCGUAAAACUCUGUUCUAUGGGAAGAAAAGGAUUGUACCAUAGGAGAAAGCUCCGGCUAAAUACGUGCUAGCAGCGGCGGUAAUACGUAUGGAGCGAGCGUUGUUCGGAAUUAUUGGGCGUAAAGGGUGCGCAGGCGGCUUUACAAGUUGGAUGUGAAAUAUUGUGGCUCAACCACAAACGUGCAUCCAAAACUGCAAAGCUUGAGUUAAGGAGAGGUAAGUGGAGUUCCUGGUGUGGCGGUGAAAUGCGUAGAUAUCAGGAGGAAUACCGGUGGCGAAGGCGACUUACUGGACUAAAACUGACGCUCAGGCACGAAAGCGUGGGGAGCAAACAGG
rnacentral:rRNA from 1 species